rnacentral:rRNA from 1 species
UGAGGAAUAUUGGGCAAUGCCCGCAAGGGUGACCCAGCAACGCCGCGUGGAGGAUGAAUGUCGUAAGAUUGUAAACUCCUGUUAGAGGGGAAGAAUAGUACCGGUUGGACCGGUAUAUGACUGUACCCUCAGAGACAGCCCCGGCUAACUACGUGCCAGCAGCCGCGGUAAUACGUAGGGGGCAAGCGUUGUCCGGAUUUACUGGGUGUAAAGGGCGCGCAGGCGGGAUAAAAAGUCAGUGGUGAAAUCCUACAGCUUAACUGUAGAACUGCCUUUGACACUUUUAUUCUUGAGUUCGGGAGAGAGAGACGGAAUUCCAGGUGUAGUGGUGAAAUACGUAGAUAUCUGGAAGAACACCAGUUGCGAAGGCGGUCUCUUGGUCCGACACUGACGCUGAGGCGCGAAAGCGUGGGGAGCAAACA